rnacentral:lncRNA from 1 species
CACCAACGCGCUACUUCUGGUCUCCGUACGGCAAAAUGGCGGCGCCCGAGUGACACUCCGGCAUGAAGACGUUGCGGCGUCCUGUUGCCACAUCCGGUAUCUUCGCGUCAACUUCCGCUCGCCAAGCACAAGCAGGCGCUCCGCGCGCCGGAAGUGCUGUGCAAACAGCGGAAGUCACGUGGCGACCGCGUCCGGAAGUUCCGGUGGGGGCGUAAUGGCGGCUCGCAGAGCGCUGCGGAUCGCGGAGCGCCGCGCUCUCAAUGCCCGCCCCAUCCCAGCAGCCCCGCAGCGCAUCGGCCAAUGGCGGGUCAGCCAGGGAUUGGCACCCGGAAGUUCGGGCUACGGACCCCUCCGUGACCUCCCUGAUUGGUCGUUUGUGGAUGGCCGCCCGGCUCCCCUGUGGGCGGGGCAGCUGCGCCGUCGCCAUGACAACGAGGAACUGGCUGUGAGUUUGGCUCCGCCCCCUCCGCCCCUCCAUUGGGCUCUAUGGGGCGGUUAUGGGCACGGUUAUGGGGUUCUGUGGGGCGGUUAUGGGGUCUAUGGGGCGGUUAUGGGGUGCUUAUGGGGUUCUGUGGGGUGGUUAUGGGGCUCUAUGAGGUGGUUAUGGGGCUCUAUGGGGGGGUUUUGGGGUCUAUGGGGCUCUAUGGUCUGGUUAUGGGGUCUUAUGGGGCGGUU